UACCCCAUUAUCCCGUUACCCCAUUCCCCGUUACCCAGAUCCCAUUUUCCCGUUAUCCCGUUAUCCCGCUAUCCCAUCCCCGCUAUCCCCAGGCUGCAGGACGCUCUCCGGGCCCAGCCCCGCCUCGGCCCCGUGUCCGCUCUGCUCCCGGCCCCGGCACGGGGAUUUGGCUCCUCGGGCUCCCCGCGGGUGUCACCCCCGCAGGGCAGAGGCGGUGCCCUUGCCCCGGCUGGCACUGUCACUGUCACCUCCUCGGGUGUCACCCCGGCAGGGCACAGGCGGUGCCCUUGCCCCGGCUGGCACUGUCACUGUCACCUCCUCGGGUGUCACCCCGGCAGGGCACAGGCGGUGCCCUUGCCCCGGCUGGCACUGUCACUGUCACCUCCUCCGGCCGCCGCAGCCGCCGUCCUGCCCGUGCUGCUGCCCUCGCGCCGGGAGCGUAAAAACCAGGGUGUAAGGCUAAAGAAAGCAGGGUCUGAAAGUUCUAAAAGCCAGGUUUAAAAAUUCUAAAAGCCAGGUUUGAAAGUUUUCAAAGCCAGGGUUGAAAAGUUUUAAAAGCCAGGUUUAAAAGUUUUAAAAGCCAAGGUUUAAAAGCUCAAAUAGCCAGGUUUAAAAAGUUAGAACACCAGGGUUUAAAGGCUAAAAUAGUCUGGGUUUAAAAGUUUUAAAAGCCGGGGUUUAAAAGUUUAAAGCCAGGGCUGAGCAGUGUCCUGCAGCUCUGGCUUAGUUAGGAUGGGGCUGGGAGCUGAUCCCGCUCCUAAACCCAGCCUAAAUCCCCGUCCUGCAAUCCUGGCCCAGUUAGGAUGGGGCUGGGAGCUGAUCCUGCUCCCAAACCCAGCCUAAAUCCCCGUCUCCCUGCAGCAGCACCCCCAGCCCGGCCCCUGGAGCGCUCCAGGAGCCCAAAUCCCGCUCUGGUCCCAGCCCGGGUCUGGCACAGCCCCGCCGGGAAUUCCCUCUCCGGCCCCGCCGGGAAUUCCCUCUCCGGCCCCGCCGGGAAUUCCCUCUCCAGCCCCGCCGGGAAUUCCCUCUCCGGCCCCGCCGGGAAUUCCUUCUCCAGCCCCGCCGGGAAUUCCCUCUCUGGCCCCGCCGGGAAUUCCCUCUCUGGCCCCGCCGGGAAUUCCCUCUCUGGCCCCGCCGGGAAUUCCCUCUCCAGCCCCGCAGGGAAUUCCCUCCCCAGCCCCGCCGGGAAUUCCCUCUCCGGCCCCGCAGGGAAUUCCCUCCCCAGCCCCGCCGGGAAUUCCCUCUCCGGCCCCGCAGGGAAUUCCCUCCCCAGCCCCGCCGGGAAUUCCCUCUCCGGCCCCGCAGGGAAUUCCCUCCCCAGCCCCGCAGGGAAUUCCCUCUCCGGCCCCUCCCCGUCUGAGCCCGGCCCCACCACUCCGGGCUUUUCUUGGUGCUGAUUCCCCCUCGAGCCCUGGAAAUCCUUCCAGGGUCCUUCAGAGCUCUUGAGAGUGGAGGAGAAUUCUCACAUUUGGGAGAGAAAGAGAAUUCCUUCACAUUUGAGAGCAAAAGAGAAUUUUCACAUUUGAGAGCAAAGGAGAAUUUUCACAUUUGAGAGCAAAAGAGAAUUUUCACAUUUGAGAGCAAAGGAGAAUUUUCACAUUUGAGAGAGAAAGAGAAUUUCUUCACAUUUGAGAGAGAAAGAGAAUUUCAUCACAUUUGAGAGAGAAUUUCUUCACAUUUGAGAGUGGAGGAGAAUUUUCACAUUUGAGAGACAAAGAGAAUUUCUUCACAUUUGAGAGUGGAGGAGAAUUUUCAGAUUUGAGAGUAAAGGAAAGGAAAAUUUGUUCACUCUUGAGAGCAAAGGAGAAUUUUCACCGUUAGAGAGUGGAGGAGAAUUUUCAGAUUUGGGAGUAAAGGAGAAUUUCUUCACAUUUGAGAGAGAAUUUCUUCAUAUUUGAGAGCAAAGGAGAAUUUUCACAUUCGACAGCAAAGGAAAAUUUCUUCACUCGAUAGCGAAGGAGAAUUUCUUCACUCUGGAGAGCAGAGAAUUUUCACAUUUGGCAGCGAAGGAGAAUUUUCACAUUUGAGAGUGAAGGAGAAUUUUCACAUUUGAGAGAGAAUUUUCACAUUUGAGAGAGAAUUUCUUCGUAUUUGAGCGAGAAUUUCUUCACAUUUGACAACGAAGGAGAAUUUUCACAUUUGGCAGCGAAGGAGAAUUCUCACAUUUGGGAGCUAAAGGAGAAUUCUCACAUUUGGGAGCUAAAGGAGAAUUUUCACAUUUGGGAGCUAAAGAAGAAUUUUCACAUUUGGCAGCGAAGGAGAAUUUUCACAUUUGGGAGCUAAAGGAGAAUUUCUCCACUCUCGAGAGCGAAGGAGAACUUUCACCAUUUUUUCACCACUUCCCAUUUUCCCCAGGAGAACCCCUCGCUCCUGCCCAGCUCGUGGAUUUCAGCACGGUCAUCAUUUGAUCUUUUUUAACCCUGUACAACCAAACUUCUCCCAGCUUUUUUAGCACUUACAAACCCGACGGAUCCUUCUGAGAACCGAGGAAAACCGCGGCUUCCGCUUCUUGGGUCGUUUUAUUUCACUUUUCUUUUUUUUUUUCCUGGGAAUUCUGGCCAGGAAAUCCUGGCCAGGCCUCACCCUGGAAGCUCAAGACUCACUGCUGGAGUUGGAAAAAAAAACAAAAAAAAAAAAAUGUAAAUAUCGGUGCAAAAAGCAGCGUCUUGCCAGACAAUGGAUUUAUUGAACGCGUAUUGGUACUUUCAAUAUUUCGAGUCAAUGUAUAAAAAGCAACUUGGUGCACUUUUCCUACCUGACAGUAUUUUUGGGGGGGGACUUUUAUUGUUCUUUUGUUAUGGGUUUUGUGCUGUCUUUUUUAAUCCGUGGAAUUGUUAAGUAUUUAAUUUAUUCUUAUUAUUGAUGUGCCCAGAGGACUAGUGCAAUUUUUAUUCAAUACAGUCGGUCUGUAUUUAAUGUCAGGAUUUUUUCCCCCCACCCCCCGUAGAGUUUUUAGGGAAAUAUUUUUCCAAAAUUGCCUUUUUUUUGUUCCCCCUUUUUUCCCCCCCUCACUCCUUUUCCCUUUGUGUUCCCAUCACAGCUCCUGAGGCGCCCGAAGCCUCGACUUUGAGAUAAACCCCAACACCCCCGAGCCCCCAAACCAAAAAUUUCUCCAGGAAAAACACGUGAAGGAUGCACUUCUCCCCGUU